rnacentral:rRNA from 1 species
UGACGGUACCUGACUAAGAAGCCCCGGCUAACUACGUGCCAGCAGCCGCGGUAAUACGUAGGGGGCAAGCGUUAUCCGGAUUUACUGGGUGUAAAGGGCGCGUAGGCGGGAAGGCAAGUCAGAUGUGAAAUCCAUGGGCUCAACCCAUGAACUGCAUUUGAAACUGUUUUUCUUGAGUGCUGGAGAGGUAGACGGAAUUCCUUGUGUAGCGGUGAAAUGCGUAGAUAUAAGGAAGAACACCAGUGGCGAAGGCGGUCUACUGGACAGUAACUGACGCUGAGGCGCGAAAGCGUGGGGAGCAAACAGGAUUAGAUACCCUG